rnacentral:rRNA from 1 species
CCUACGGGUGGCAGCAGUGAGGAAUAUUGGUCAAUGGGCGCGAGCCUGAACCAGCCAAGUAGCGUGAAGGAUGACUGCCCUACGGGUUGUAAACUUCUUUUAUAAAGGAGUAAAGUGAGGCACGUGUGCCUUUUUGUAUGUACUUUAUGAAUAAGGAUCGGCCAACCCCGUGCCAGCAGCCGCGGUAAUUCGGAGGAUCCGAGCGUUAUCCGGAUUUAUUGGGUUUAAAGGGAGCGUAGGGUGGUUGUUAAGUCAGUUGUGAAAGUUUGCGGCUCAACCGUAAAAUUGCAAUUGAUACUGGCAGCCUUGAGUACAGUUGAGGUAGGCGGAAUUCGUGGUGUAGCGGUGAAAUGCUUAGAUAUCACGAAGAACUCCGAUUGCGAAGGCAGCCUACUGGACUGCCACUGACAUUGAUGCUCGAAAGUGUGGGUAUCAAACAGGAUUAGAUACCCUUGUAGUC